rnacentral:misc_RNA from 1 species
GAUGAAGAACGUAGCGAAAUGCGAUACGUAAUGUGAAUUGCAGAAUUCAGUGAAUCAUCGAAUCUUUGAACGCACAUUGCGCCCGCCAGCACUCUGGCGGGCAUGCCUGUUCGAGCGUCAUUUCAACCAUCAAGCCCCAGGCUUGCGUUGGAGCCCUGCGGCUGCCGCAGCCUCCUAAAAGCAGUGGCGGGCUCGCUAUCACACCGAGUGCAGUAGAUUACUCUUCGCUCAGGGCGUGCAGCGGGUUCCGGCCGUGAAACCCCCUACUUUUAAAGGUUGACCUCGGAUCAGGUAGGAAUGCCCGCUGAACUUAAGCAUAUCAAUAAGCGGAGGA